GAGGCCCUCUGUACCAAAGGGGCUACGCAGGGCCAGCCAUCAAUUCUGUCUGUGGUCAUCACUCCCUCCCUGCCUUGGACUCCUCAGAAUCUCAGCUCCCCAACCUCAAGAUGACUCAAUCCUUCCCACUGUGCUGCCUUUGUGGAAAACAUCGGAGGGAUAGAAGAAAACAAUCACACAUGCACACACAAAAUAACAAACUGCUCGUCUUCCUAGUAUGGAUCCCAUCUCAUCAUACAUAGGGUGCCAUAGCAACAUAUUUACUUUGCUAUGCAGACGCCCCCUCCAUAUGUAUUAUACCUGAGGGGAUUUACAUUAUCUAGAGAGAGAGAGAGAGAGAGAGCUGACUUCUUAAUUGUGAUACUACUUCUGGUUGUCUUGUCUCUAUUCUCUUUCUUUUGGUUUCUGAAUCUUGUCUGUCUUACAGAUGUGAAGAGCUGGGACUUGGGAGCCGCAGUAGAAAACGCCUGAAGGUAGAAGAGCACCGAACAAGGAUUAUCUGGGUGGAAACCGCCGACCUGCGAGUUGGGGAUCUUCGUGUGUGAGGAUUCCCACCAACCACCAGCUGCUCCAUGGAUCCCCUGUGUCCGAGUAAUGGUGUGAGCCGGACACAGCCCCGCACCUCCGGCCAACUGUAGCCCCCCACCCCAGCCCCCCUCGGCCCCAUUACUUUUUUAUUUUUUUGUACUGGCUUAUUUUUUCUCACAAUCCCUGGAGUUUAUUCUUGUUUGGAACCAGGGAUGGAUGUACCAUUGGAGGCCAGCAAGCAUGGCAAGAAGACGACCAGUCAAAAGCUGGAAGACCAGAAGAAGGUGUUUCCUGAGUGUUUCCUUGACUUCGAGAGAGAGAGAGAAUGAAAGAGAGAGAGAGAACACACCGUCACCACAGUACAACACACUGACAGAGUACAUGAGGCUCCCCCUGUCCCGCCUCCAUCUUCUUUCUGAGCACACCCUCAUGCGCUCACUAACCUGACCUAUCAGAGGGCAGGAUGGAGCUACUGUACCUAGGAUGGGCUUGGGGAUGGUUUGGGACUGAUCUGACUGGCUGGCUCACUCGCCAUCUCAGUUUAAAUUGGAAUUAACCGCCUGCACACACACACCUAACAUAUUCUACCUCAAACGUUCCUCACGUUUCAAACCAAUGAAUAAAUUAAAACAUUGCCUUGAUCCCAGUAGUAUGGAGAUACAGCGUUGUCUCUGUAUGUUGCUAUUAGGACCCAGUCCUCCCUACUUGAUCCCAGUAGUAUGGAGAUACAGCGUUGUCUCUGUAUGUUGCUAUUAGGACCCAGUCCUCCCUACUUGAUCCCAGUAGUAUGGAGAUACAGCGUUGUCUCUGUAUGUUGCUAUUAGGACCCAGUCCUCCCUACUUGAUCCCAGUAGUAUGGAGAUACAGCGUUGUCUCUGUAUGUUGCUAUUAGGACCCA
rnacentral:lncRNA from 13 species